GGUGGAGUGAUUUGUCUGGUAUAUUCCGAUAACGAACGAGACUCUGGCCUGCUAACUAGUGUUCACAUCUUUACGUGUGCUUCGCUUCUUAGAGGGACAGGCGGCUUCCAGCCGCAUGAAAAAGAGCAAUAACAGGUCUGUGAUGCCCUUAGAUGUCCGGGGCUGCACGCGCGCUACACUGAAAGAAUCAGCGUGUACGUUACCUGGCUCGAAAGAGUCGGGUAAUCCGGUGAAAAUCUUUCGUGAUUGGGAUCGGGACUUGCUAUUAUUUCCCUUGAACGAGGAAUCCCUAGUAAGUGCGGGUCAUCAGCUCGCGCUGAAUACGUCCCUGCCCUUUGUAC
rnacentral:rRNA from 1 species